GAGUGGCGGACGGGUGAGUAAUGCUUGGGAAUCUGGCUUAUGGAGGGGGAUAACGACGGGAAACUGUCGCUAAUACCGCGUAGAAUCGAGAGAUGAAAGUGCGGGACCGUAAGGCCGCAUGCCAUGAGAUGAGCCCAAGUGGGAUUAGGUAGUUGGUGAGGUAAAGGCUCACCAAGCCGACGAUCUCUAGCUGGUCUGAGAGGAUGACCAGCCACACUGGGACUGAGACACGGCCCAGACUCC
rnacentral:rRNA from 1 species